GUUCUGCUCAGCGCCGGAGAGCAGCGCCGUGCGGGACGAACGCGGCUCAGACUGAGUCCGGCUGCCGCUUUUUGGGAGCCCGCAGCCGUCCCGUCCGCGUUCCGAGGUGUCCCCUCCGGACGACCGAACUGUCGAGGGCGGAAAAGCGCGGCGCUUAUUCGUGAUGGGGAAGGUGAGGGCUGAAAGAAGGUAUUAAAAAUGGAGCCCGAGGCACAGAAGGAGCGGCGCGGCUCCAGCUGCCCUUUUAUAGUAAGCGGUGUUUUACGGAAAGUGGGAAAGGAGGGAGAAGUGCCUCCCUUCCAGCAGCGGGACUGGGAUGGUGCAGCCCUUCUAUCGCGUUCCUGGAGGGAUAUGAACUCAGCUCUCGCUUCUGGAAACGAGAAGUGUCGUUCUCAGCAGUUCCUCCCCUUGAGCCCCAUUGCCGGGUCCCGCCUCACCUUCCGCUGGCACUGAGGGGGAUCUCUAUAGAACAGUUUUCGAGCUUGGCAUCCGUGCUUCAUAAAAAGUCUUAAUCGAUGGCUUUGACGAGUGGUUUCUCUAAGUGCACUUAACGUUCUCAAUACCACGUAUGUGUAAAUGCUGUUAGUGAACCGGGGCGUUGCUUUAGAAUGUGUACAAAGGGGACACCCGGCACGGACCGAAAGCGGACUCUCAGUCCAGGUGAGAGCCACGGUUAUAUCAAACAUAAAGGAUGGGUGCCCGUUAGGAGAGCUGCAGGAGUCCAUCAGGUGAGAAAGAGGCACUUCAGACUGCACGAAGAACUAAGAAAGAGGUGUGCAGAAAAGCAGGCAGCAUUAGCUGGCAAAAGAGGAUAUGAAAACAACUGUACUUCUUCAGGGCUCUUCAUAUCCUUGUUUCUGGCUGAAUGUGCUACGUGCGUGAACAUCCUUUCUUAUAAAAGAAUCAAUUUCACAAAGAUCCCACUGUAUGGCAGUGUACUGAUUGGCUGUCACAGCCCCUGGCUAAAUAUUAAUGUUGGUCGCUUUUCCAAGUCGAAUUUAUGAGCUACUCUAUCUGGAGAACUUGAAAUCUCUACCCGCAAGUGAAACUCCAGCACAGCGCUCUUCUGACUUGCACGUUGUCUGUCCGUGGUUAUAAAGGUUUCCUUAGUAAAUGACUUCUCGUUGGACGGUAUUUUUUCUUCCUGCGUUGCUCAGGGAAAUAUCAGGCGGUCUCUUUGGAUCUGAGGCUUGGUUUGUUGAAGUUUUACAAUGCUAAGCAGCGGGACAAACACCGAGGGCUGACCAGAAGGAGCUCCCCAUCGGUGCAACCCCUUUGGUUUCAUAACCCUUUGCGAGCUUAGAGCCAUGAUUUACAUAGCAGCGAGGGAAAAUGAAAAUGAGGAGGAAGCCCAUUGCGCCGUGUACGUGUAUUUGCUCCUAAGGCAGACUUGAUUAAACCUGGCCUAUGCCACGAGGACUGUGAAAGGUGAGAGCAAAGGCGAGCAAAGGGUCCUCCCUCGUAACGACACGCACAGUUAAUGCUCUCUUCACCCAAGAUAGUAAACCAGACCCAAAACGGGAAGGAGGAUCUGGGCUAUUCUUUCACCUCCCUCCCCACCCCCAGGCUCUGAGCCGUGGAGGAAGGAUCGGGUUGCAGUAUUUUAAAGCUGGAGCAGCAUGUGCACCUCCUGGGUACAGUGAGAGCGCUGGGAGCAAAGCUCUCAGGGCUCCCUGCUCCCGGGGCUGUGCCUUAUCCACAGAGCCAGCCUCCAAUUCCCCUCUAUGUUCCCCUGCAGACGUACAAUAUUUGCAAGGAUGCGUACGGAUAAGAAAGUUAUUAAACUGACUUACCUUUGGCACGUGGCUUUGAAAGCUUCCUGCUCGACACAAGUCACAUAAGCCAUACUGUCACAGUAGCUCAGCAGUGCAGGUAAAGCCGGCCUGUAAAUGAAUGAAAUCAAGAAAUCAAGUGCCUCUGCCUAAUUUCUUAAGCUUAAGCAAACUGGAUCGAUUAGCACAUUGAAAAAUAUCAUUGCUGUCUCUUUCUCCCCACCACCUGAGUGCAGAUGAUUUCGAGUUAUACCAUACAGCUGAUGUUAAAUCUGUGCCAAGGUAGGAGAUGGAUCGUGGUUUGGAAUGGAAGUUCAGGUUAGGGCCAUAAUUCUCUCCCUGCCUCCAAACUUUUAAGAUCAGGACAAUUAAAGCUGUCCUACCCCUCACUGGACCUAAGAGACAAAGUAUGCAUGCAGGAUGCUCCACGGCUACGUGUGGUAAGGAACUGCAGAAGGAGGCCACGAGCCUUCCCCUGUGUUGGAAUGGGGAAAGUUCUGGGGAGCAGUAGGAGAUCGAGCACAGAGCACUGAAUAGACUGUAGUGCCUAACUUAGUGGUUGGUAACCCUGCCCAUGGCAGAGGGCUGGAACUGGAUGUUCCUUGAGGCCCCUUCCAACCCAAGUCAUUCUGUGACUCUAUGAUUCUGGGCACACAGAGAUGAGAGGAGCUGUAUAAUCAUGGGGUGACAAGACACGAACAGUUUAACCUUGCCACAGCCACUUCCACCUGGGCUCUGUGAGUUUUAAAAAGAGCAAAAUCUCGUUCAAGGCUUAAAAGUACGUUGAGCUCUGCAGAGAAAAAGCCAUAUGUCAAAUUCAGGUAUUGUUAAUGUAGUGGUGAAAAUACACGAUUUUAACAUACAGACUGGCAGACGUUUCAUUUGAAAGCAGGAAUUAAAAUAAUGACAGGUUGUGUCGUGUGACAGCACACUUACCAACAAAACUGCCCUUUUCUCGUGCAUGAAAGUCAACCAUAUGGAGGGAGAGGCUGCUGGAAAUAUGCAAGGGGCACAAAAAUGGAGGCAGAGAUGGGGGAGUUUCAUGGAAGAUGCUGAGUUGAUGACCGGAGCCUUCAGCCAGGCUGUUACCCUCUUUACUUUCUAAUGCUGUGCAAAUGAAUUAAUCAAAGCGCACGCAUUCUCUUGCAAAUCAAAGGUUCUGCCUCUCUGUGCCCCUCAGGUCAUACGUGACCAUGUCCUGACCCUGACAGUCUGCAGUCGUCCUCAGCACGGGCACACACCUCCCUAACCGCUGCAGCCCAUGUCUGCUGUGCGUUGUAUGCUGCUUCCCCCUUCCUUGUUUUUAUUUUACAAAUCUACUUUAAAAAAAUCCUGUUACCUUCUAUGUAUUCCUGCAUCCUCCCUUGCACCGAGAAGCUUCUUGAUACUUAAGCAAAUGUUAAGAUAUAGGCAAAAAUAUAGGAAGAGAAGAUUAUUCCAGGCCACUUUGCAGAAAAAGGAAUACUUUCUUUUAUGGAAAGCAAAAUCUUCAGCUGAAAGAGGCUCGUGUUUACAUUAUCACUAAAACUUCUGCUGAAUGGGGAAGAAACAGUAACGGCAGACAGCGCUUCAAAAGGAAGUUCUGUUACAGCACAGACCAAAAAAAUUUAAGUUCUUCCAGUGUAAAAAAUACGUAGUCAAUGGCUGAGCUUCUACAUUUGCCUUCAAUACUGAGCUGUGAGCGUGGAGUGCCCCACUGCAAGUCGUUAAUGUACCCACCAGCCCUACUGCUCAAACCUAUGCAAGGAGAGAAUUAAUACAAAGGCAUUCAUCGAGCGCAAAACUGAGAUAUUCUUUCACUGCAACUUCUGCAGCUCUAACAAAGACAGCAUUCAAAGAAUAAAAAAUAAAAAAAGCAUUUCAAAGAGCAGCGUAGAUGCCGGGCAUGGAUUGGCUCUUCACUUAAAGACAGAGGCCGCAGGCCCAAAGGAAUAACUCAGACAACGCAGACGCUCCAAGUUUCAGACUUUCAGGCUGGAGGCCUCCAGUUGGAACUUAUCUCUGUUUUCACACAUCAGUAGGUUCGGCGGAGUUAGAAAUACCCAGCACGUACAAGGAAAACAAUCUCUAUCAGUGGAUACAGCACGAACACGAUAACGCAAUGUUUUGCAAGCCUCGAGCAAUUGUCAAGCCACUGCGCUUUGUCAAGGCAGCACACUUGACUGUCAGGGUCAUCUAACCUUAGGUCACCUUCUACCUUCUCCCUGGCCAGGUCCCAGCACCUCCAUUUACUCUCUGUAAGUGCUGCAGCACCCUGGAGGCAGGGGCAGAGGCAAUGGGUGCUGCUGCCCCAGUAGGAGCAGCAGCUGCCUGGGUGCAUCGCUUUGCGCCUCUGAGUUAAAUGAUCCUUAUCAACUACCCCUCCAAACAGAAAAGAGAAGGACCCUACCUUAUUCCACCUAUUUUGGUAUGGUUUUAUAUUUGCAUUAUUUUAUUUCAGUGUUCGAGGCCCUUUUUCAAUUAAAUAUAGCCACUCACAAAACACGAUUCUUUUUGUUAGCUGGCUUGUUAUUCCCUAGCCAUACAAUUUUUACUUAAUCUCCUGUAAAGCAAACCUCUGACUCUUAAUUGUUAUGUUUUACAAUAGAAAACAUAAUGGGUUUUCUUUACUACGUGAUUAAGCCUUCCAGUUCCGAUUUGUGAACUCCAUGUAGACGGAAAGCGGAAUUCAAUUAAAAUGUAGCAAAAGGGCACUUCAUUUUCUAUCAGUUUAAUUAAAUAACCAUAGAUGUACAUAACGUGUAAGCAGAAGAAUACACUUAUCAGAACACGGUGCACUGCGAGCUGAUUUAUUCAGCCAGGACUAAUCACUGCUAGCUGGUGAGCUGCUGUGAUUGUUUCUGGUCAGCACGACCUUCAAGACUUCAGAGCUGGUACGUCUCAUCCUCUCGCAGUCUUCACUCAUGGGCUCGAUGAGAAAGCAAAAUAAGAGAUUGCCUGCUUUUUCAGCUCUCCGUGGCGCUUUCCAUUUUGAACAUAAAUGAGUAUAUUAAAAGAGCUUCAGCGUUCAGCGGGUUGUAGUUCCAGGCGCUCCGGCAGUGACUCCCAGCCCUUCAGUGGUUUGACUUGCUCUAAAAAUCUGGCGUCAAAAAAAAUGUGUCGCGUAGCACUUUUAUUGUGUUAUUUUAAAAUACCUACAGUAAAUGUAACCUUAGUGCAGGCUGCCCUACUUCCGUAUUUAGUUUUAAGUGGUCUUAUUAAAAAAAAAAAAAAAAGAAAGAAACAUUUAAAUAAAAUAAAGUAUACGUAUAUAACUCAUUAAACUUACAUUCCUCAUUCCAGUAGGCCACAGAAGCAAUAGAAAGUGUGGAUUCCCUCCUUUCUGAUUUAUCAGCCACUUGUGCUAUGGUGUGUUCAGAACAGAACGGGUUCCUACUGUGCCUGCUGGUGUACACACGAAGUUAAAGAGACAGAGCCCUGGCAGAGAGUGAAGCACUGGCUGUUCAAGUGCAGGUUUACCAGCGCCAGGAGGCAGAGCGUGGGAGGAUGCCACAGAGGGCCCCAGAUCCUCCAUCCCCUCCUGUUCCCCUACCUUGAGUUCCAGCUGCACUCACCCAGGCCCAUAGACUGGCAGUUGGAGAGAGUUUAAACGAACCAGGGAACUGAAUGUAAGCAAUGAUGGCAUUAAGCUCUGCUAAAGAUAGAGGCUUCCCAUUGAAUUUCCUUCCUGCGUGACUCUGGAGCGUAAUCCUAGCACCAGGACCACUUCUCAGGUGGAAAGGAAGAAAAUUAUUACUGACAAGGUCCAAAGGCUGGGAUCCUGACCUCCUCAGUUUUGAACUGUGCCUUACAGAUCGGCAUUGCAGAUCUGUGGAUUCAUCUGAUUUGCUUAACAUGGAUCAGAAUGUAAUUCCUGCUCCCAAAUCACUGUGUUGGAAACCAAGCUAUCCUAUGAAUUCUCUAGUGUUUUGUUUUCUUUUUUGUUUGUUUGGUUUUAGUGUUUUGUUGUUGUUGUUGUUGUUGUUGUUGUUUUUGAUAGGCUGAAAGAUUUCCUCUCUAUAGCAGAGAGAUUCUGAAGGCAAGCGUAAGGAAGAAGAAAAAUCUCUGGUCAAAAUUACAGUGGUAACAGCUAGUUUCUAAAGAGAUCAAUUUUGGUUUAGGUAAGGGCAAGAUUAAGCAGAGAAAAAGAGGUAAGGUAGAGACGUUUCACUAACACGUAUUACAAAAUUGUUGACUUGGGUUGGCUCUUGCUGGUUGAAUUUUAGGAGGGAAUGGUCCUGAAAGUAUUGAUUCAUUACUGUAAGACUGGGCUAGCAGAGGUUCAUAAAUCAACUGUAUUUUAGAAUGGAAGAGAGGUUGGGCUGUCCAUUAACCCACCUCUGGCUACAGGCAUAGGCCAGUUCCUAGCCAAGUGAGCAGCAGGACCAGGACCAGCACACUUGACAUUGCCCAUGGGUGCCAGUGUUUAGCUCGGGUGUGUCCCUGGCUUGAUGCGAUCUGUCUGCUCAGUGACCUUCACCACAUCCCUCCUCCACGUUCUUCUGCAGCCCCUCCUUAGAUCCACGUGAGCUAUCUGUACUAUCUGUACUAUCUUAAGGCAAAGAAUGUCACAAGUAUAUUACCCACGUACA
rnacentral:lncRNA from 1 species